GUGCCAGCAGCCGCGGUAAGACGAGGGGUCCAAGCGUUGUUCGGAAUUAUUGGGCGUAAAGCGGGUGUAGGUGGCUCUAUAAGUCAGGAGUGAAAUCCCCGAGCUUAACUUGGGAAGUGCUUUUGAUACUGCAGAGCUUGAAUGUGGGAGAGGAUAAUAGAAUUCCAGGUGUAGUGGUGAAAUACGUAGAUAUCUGGAGGAAUACCGGUGGCGAAGGCGGUUAUCUGGCCCAACAUUGACACUGAGACCCGAAAGCGUGGGGAUCAAACAGGAUUAGAAACCCUAGUAGUCC
rnacentral:rRNA from 1 species